GACCUUCCCCGAAUAGAGGAGGACCGGUCUUCGGUCAAGGGUAUACGAGUAGCUGCGCUCCCCUGCUAGAACCUCCAAACAAGCUCUCAAGAAUAUAUUUAAUUUACUGCAAUCAUUCUACAAUGAAAUACAUAUAAAGCAUCACAUUGUAU
rnacentral:snRNA from 1 species